ACUCGGCCCUGGGGAACACACACAACACUUCUUGGCUUGUACUGUGGGUGUGGGUCUCUUAGGGAAAAGGGUUGUUUUUGAGCUAACAAAAUCACAGUAAUGGCAAAUUAACUGAAGAACAUUCGGGCGGUGAAACUGCCUCCAUUCUUGUUCUCGGGACUAUGGAAAGAAUUGCAAAGAACAGUGAGAGAUCCAUAACACAAAGUUCGUGGAAAAUUCCAAGUGUUAAUUCAGUACCAAGUGUGCCGUGCUCAGCAGAGCACAAGUCACACACGGGCCUGAAAUUUAUCUGAGCGAACCUACUAGGGCUUCCACAAGCAUCUAGCAGCCCCCAGCACUUCUCACUCCUAUGCAGUCUCAGAGUUCCCUUUGGAAGUACAGACAUGCAGCUUUCUGAGGUCUGAGCUACUUAAAUUUCCAGACCUGAGAGGGUCUCUCCAGCCAAGCAGCGAGCCUGUGGGUGCCCACGUGGCCGCCCUGCCCAGCUCCCCGUGUCCGGGCUGACUGCUGACGUCACAGACCCGAGUCAGAAGGCGCUGCCCUGCGACGCUGCCCCGCUGCGAUCUGCAUUCACCAGGCCUGCCUCAAGGGUUCAGGUCCCGGUCUCUGGGAUCAACAGCUCUAAAAUGCCCAGAAACUGCAAGACAGACACCUGACAUUUACCAACACUCUUUCCUCAAAACAAAAAUCCGUUUCCUGUUCUGUGCCUUCUUAUGCAAGCAAAGACUCACUCAGCUGUAACUACGAAUCACGAGGGGGCAGUGGGCUAGAGUCAGGGGGUCGCAAAGAGUCGACACGAGUGGUGACUGACGCACACUCACAGCCACACAGAUACUGAUACAAACCACGACGAGUUAGGGCCAACCGCCGAGAGCCCUCCCACACCCAGAGUUCAGAUUCCGUAAGAAGGGGAUAGACUCAAGUCACAUAUUCAAUUACAGAGAGAAAAAUGGGAAUACAAUCCCAUGCAGUUGAGAGCUAAUUUUCAGAAUGAUCACCUGGAUCCCUGAAGUACUAAUCAUCUAAGAAAUGGACAUCAAUGAUUAUCUUCCUCUUAUUAAGGAAGACUGUGAAGGAGCCCCUGGACUGCCCAUCCUCGUUACUGACUCUAACUAGACUGUUAAGAAACUUUAAAAACACGGAAUUUAAACAUAAUUCAUAAGUGUGCGAGUUGGGCUUGAGAGGAGAGAACAAAAAAGAAUCUCUAUCCUAGCAGCUGGAAUUCCCAUGGAGGGAGACACACUCCCCUGACCUUGAACCCUGAGCCAGUGUCUGUCCUGGACACAGCGGCCUGGGUGCCAGCCCAUGGCCCACGCUCGCUUGGUCACCCCUCCCUGGUCAUCUCUUGGUCAUCCUUGGUCAUCUCUCCCUGCCUCUCUGGGCUCUGGGCAGAGAAGCUCUACAAAGCGCUCACGGGAGGGGCAGGGCGUCACUCAUCACGUGGCGCUUGUCCCCAUCCCACUGGCCACAGGGACACUAACGCGAGGGCCACAUCUGUUCUUCCGAUCAGAUGCUCACUGCCCUAAAAACAGCCAGUGAAGAAAGAUGCUUCCCUUUCAAAAAAGAAAGAAAGAAAGAGAAAGGAAAGAAAAGAAAACCAGUUACUCUUAAAGAUAAACAGCACAGCGCUCUUCCGGGAACUGGGACCAUGUUUUUGCCAAAGUCCACGACAUGAGGUCAGAUUUUUGAAUCCAGAAAAUGCAAAUAAAUUGCGACCUAUCACAGUGGCCACUGAGGAAUCAGUGUGCAAGGCAGGCCGGACUCGUGUGCUCAAAGUGCAGGGAUCGCUGCUUUCACACGGGCCAGCAAGGGUGUCUGCAGAGAAGGCUUGCAAGGAGGAAGCCACAGCCAGCUGCCACGAGCACUCACCCCAGGACAGCUCCGUCCUCCCGCCCUCAGCCUCAUCACCAGUCCCCCUCUUGCCUGCAACUGGUGAUGAGCACGACCCAGACAACAAACAGCUGGAAGCAUGCCAGAGGACCAUACAUCCGUGGUCUACCAUGCCCUCUUUAAUCAACUUCCUAAUUAAAAACUGCCAUGCUGGCAUGAGGUACAAAGAGGGUAGGCUUGGGAUCUCCCACGAAACAGCAUCCCUGAACCCUGAGGUUGUGGAAAAUCUGUGUUCUUACGGGUGUUUAUGAGUUUUCCUGGCGCAGAGAGAGAAUCAAUUUGCUUGCGCCUGGCCCUCAAGACGUAUUAAAUUUAUCCUGAAGGAAACUGGCUUCUGCAAAGCUCUUGCCCGGAUGCAUUAGGCAGGUGGGAGUUGCAGUGGGCCGGAGGGUCCCCUGGCAGAUGCAGCAUCGAUUUCUGAACGCUCACCAUCCAGCAGACAGCUCCAGAGCAGACUCGAUUUGAUGGCUCUCUAUGGGGUGCCCUGCAGACUCGAUUAUUUCCACAACCAGUCUGGCUAGCAUUGUUUCAUGGCGACCACGCUCUAUGUUCUCAGCUUCUGUUCAGAUGGCACGAGUGGGUCCGGGUACCAGGGAGGGGAGGGGGCCAGAUUUAAAGCCAGUCUCUAAGGAGCAACCAUCUCUUUCAGGGUCCAGUGAUCAAGGGGGUAAUUCUGACUUAUAAGAAACCAUUCUGUUGACUGCCAUUAAAAUACACUGAGUCCAGGCAUGAAGAUACUACUCAAAACAGUGUCUGAGCUAGAAAUCCCCCAAUAAAAAUCUCUGUACAUACAGCUAUAUCUAAAAUAGAAAACCAACAAAGACCUACUGUAUAGCACAGGGAACUCUGCUCAAUAUUCUGUAAUAACUUAAAUGGGAAAAUAAUUUGAAAAAGAAUAGAUAUAUGCAUAUGUAUAACCAAUCACUUUGCUGCACACUUGAAACUAACAGCAUUGUUAAUCAACUAAACUCUGAUAUAAAAUUAAAAUUUUUUUUAAUCUUUGUCAGUGUGCUAAAAAGAACCACUCACCCCAUAAAUGAUUAAGCCGUGAGUUGUUUAAUUUAGCAACCCAAGUCCAAUAUCCCACACCUGAAAGCAUCUCAAGCAAAUGUGCAACAAUCUUGGGAUAAUUUUCUUUAAAGCCAUUUUAUUGCACCAUCUAAGCAGCCAGACUUCAGUAAAGAAGCAGCCAGUACGUAACAUUGUCAUAAAGUUCCUUUCAACUGUAUUAAUGAGCACCCAAAAGAGGUCUACAUGGCAUACAUAUUAAUCCAAUGGCUCAAAUAUGGUCAGCCUGCACACAUUUCCACACUGGCAUUUUAAAAACACAUAUAUCCAUGCACUUAACAGAACCUUUGAAGAGAUUAAUUGCUGUACCCCUGGGACAUCAUAGCAC
ensembl:lncRNA